GACGAACGCUGGCGGCGUGCUUAACACAUGCAAGUCGAACGAAGUGGCGAACGGGUGAGUAAUACGUGAGUAACCUGCCCUCCUUUUUGGGAUAAACCUUGGAAACGGGGUCUAAUACCGAAUAAAGGGGGAUGGGCCCGCGGCCUAUCAGCUUGUUGGUGGGGUGAUGGCCUACAAAGGCGGUGACGGGUAGCCGGCCUGAGAGGGUGACCGGGCACAUUGGGAAUGAGAUACGGCCCAGACGCCGACGGGAGGAAGCAGUGGGGGAUAUUGGACAAUGGGCGAAAGCCGGAUGCAGCGACGCCGGGUGGGGGAUGAAGGCUUGCGGGUUGUAAACCUCAUGCGCGAUCGAAAGGGUAGGUGGAGAAGAAGCGCCGGCUAACUACGUGCCAGCAGCCGCGGUAAUAC
rnacentral:rRNA from 1 species